GGGCGAAUGGCUCAGUGGUAGAGCAUCCGCUUUGCAUUGAGUAAUCAGCUGCAAGCUUGCGGAAGGUCCAGGUUUCGAUCACCUGUUCGUCCA